rnacentral:pre_miRNA from 1 species
AGCCUUCUGUAUCCGUGCUGAGAUUUCGUCACACACCCGACCACAAGGGCUGAUGAGACUCCCAAGAUACUUAUAGUC